GACGGGGGGGGCAAGUGUUCUUCGGAAUGACUGGGCGUAAAGGGCCCGUAGGCGGUGAAUCGGGUUGAAAGUGAAAGUCGCCAAAAAGUGGCGGAAUGCUCUCGAAACCAAUUCACUUGAGUGAGACAGAGGAGAGUGGAAUUUCGUGUGUAGGGGUGAAAUCCGUAGAUCUACGAAGGAACGCCAAAAGCGAAGGCAGCUCUCUGGGUCACUACCGACGCUGGGGUGCGAAAGCAUGGGGAGCGAACAGG
rnacentral:rRNA from 1 species